rnacentral:lncRNA from 1 species
GGGCAUCGGUAGGUAGUCGGGUUUAGCGCCACGGGCGUGUUGCCCAUCUCGAUGAGAAUGACGGAGUAAUCGCGCCCAGGUAUGUACUCUUGGACGACAAUGUCAGUAUCACUACCGUCGAAAUGAGCAACUCCGUUGACAUUAGCACUGUCGUUAACGUGAUCACUUCCAUCGACAUGGGCGAUUCUAUUGCCGUUGACGCUCCCGUUAUCGUGAUCACUUCCGUUGACAUGGGCACUCCCGUUUCCGUCAGCGCUCCUAUUGCAGUGAUUGGCGAUGGUUGCGGCGGCUUCCUUUCGACCGGGAGCAAGAUACUCAUUGAUGCGGGCCAGCUGCUGAUCAAGUUCGCUUUGGUUCUUGCACACGGACCUUUCGUCGAUAAACAUUGACGCGCACAUCUUCGCCGGUUUCACAAACACCGGGAACUUCAUGUCAGCACCCCU